rnacentral:rRNA from 1 species
AGUUGUUGCAGUUAAGAAGCUCGUAGUUGAAUUUCUGCCUUAUCAUUAAUUUCGCUUAUUAACGUAAAUUUUAUUGAUUUGGCAUCCUCUAAUAUUAUAUAUAUUUUAUAUAUAUUUUAUUAGUAUUUACUUUGAGAAAACUAGAGUGUUUCAAACAGGCAUAUGCCUUGAAUACUAUAGCAUGGAAUAAUGAAGUAGGACUUUGGUUACUAUUAUUGUUGGGUUCCAUGCANCCUCGGUA